GAUUUAUUUAUUUCUUUUUUUUUUGUUGGAGAUUAUUCUAGAUUUUGUAUAUAUCUUAAUAGUUUCUUUGAUCAAAUUUGUCACAUAAUAACCUUAGAAAACCCCAUUCAAUGUCCUACUAACAAUUAAUGUCAGUGGACAAUGGAUUGUCCUGUUGGACAAAUUGAAAUUGUAUACUCUACGUAGGAAUGGGAUGGAUAUAAAUGUGUAUUAUAUAUUUGUAAAAAUUUCGUAACAUCUCUCGUUGUUAUUUGGGUGCAGACUUUAUGUUGUGCACUUGGAGAACUAAUGGGAGAUGCUACUAGAAUUUUUACAAAUAUAUGGCAUGUCAUUACCUGUAUAUUAUUGGUAGAGACGAUGCAAUUCUGAUUGAGUUACCUUUCAAUGCAUGAUCGGGGAUAUGAACAAACCUAAUGUUUACUUAAUUAUUGCAUAGGUAUUAGCAAAAUGGGAUCAGAUCGGAGAUGGAUGUAUGCUAGGUUAAAAGAUGGUCUACUGACCUUAGAGUUCAUACAAGGUAUUGAACAAUUCAUAACAUUUGCUAAGCAACAUCCAGAGUGGAUGGAUGGGGAUAAACUGAAGUGUCCAUGUAAUCAUCGAAAGUGUCAGAAUCGUAAUUAUGCUGAUGAGAAUACAAUUCGGUUACAUUUGAUGAAGCAUGGAUUUGUGCCAUAUUAUUAUAAAUGGAUUCUACAUGGGGAACCCCGCACAAGUAAUAUUGAUAGUCAAAACAUAAAUGUUAUGAUAGCGGAGUCUGUUCAAGAGGUUGAUAAUAGCACAAGCAAUACCUAUGAGCAAAUGGUAAUGGAUGCAGCAGGUCCUGAUUUCUUUCAGGAUGUAAUGGAGGAGCCUCCAAAUCCAUCAGCUCAAAAAUUGUAUGACAUGUUGCAAGCUGUUAAUCAAGAGGUGUGGCCAGGUUGUGAAAGCCAUUCGCAGCUCUCAGUUGUUGCAAGGAUGUUGAACAUCAAGGCAGAACAUCAUUUGUCAGAAAGGUGUUUUGAUGACAUUUGUCAACUUAUGAAAGAGGUGUUACCGGAUGAAAAUUUAAUGACUGAAAACUUUUACAGUACGAAGAAGUUGGUUCAAGCAUUGGGCCUACCUGUUGAGAAGAUUCAUUGUUGUACUAAUGGAUGUAUGUUAUAUUGGGCUGAAGAUAGUGAGUUAACGAAUUGCAAAUUUUGUGACCAUCCACGGUUCAAACGACAUAGUCGAGGCGCUUCUAAUUUUCAAACCAAUGUGCCACAUAAGAAAAUGUACUACUUUCCUCUCACACAGAGAUUGCAAAGAUUAUAUGCUUCGAAUGCAACAGCAAAAGAAAUGAGAUGGCAUGCUGAGCAUGACCAUGAAGAUGGGGUAAUGUGUCAUUGUUCAGAUGCAACUACAUGGAAGCAUUUUAAUAAAACACAUCCUUCAUUUGCUGCUGAGGUUCGGAAUGUAAGGCUAGGACUGUGCACCGAUGGGUUUCAACCAUUCGGUCAGUCUGGACAACAAUAUUCAUCUUGGCCAGUCAUUGUCACUCCUUACAAUUUGCCUCCUUGGUUAUGUAUGAAG
rnacentral:misc_RNA from 1 species